AUUGAACGCUGGCGGCAGGCCUAACACAUGCAAGUCGAGCGCGGGGCGGGCGGGUGAGAAAGGUAUGGGGAACUGCCUGAUGGAGGGGGAUAACUACUGGAAACCGUGGCUAAUACCGCAUAAUAUAGGAUGAAACCAUAUGGGAUUAGCUAGUAGGUGGGGUAACGGCUCACUAAGGCGACGAUCGCUCGCUGGUCUGAGCGGAUGAUAAGCCACACUGGUACUGAGACACGGCCCAGACUCCUACGGGAGGCAGCAGUGGGGAAUAUUGCACAAUGGGCGCAAGCCUGAUGCAGCCAUGCCGCGUGUAUGAAGAAGGCCUUAGGGUUGUAAAGUACUUUCAGCUGGGAGGCGUUACCCGCAGAAGAAGCACCGGCUAACUCCGUGCCAGCAGCCGCGGUAAGUC
rnacentral:rRNA from 1 species